GGGCUGGUAGUUCAACCUGGGCAGCUUAUUGCUGAGGGAAUAGAACGUCCGCUUGGCUAGCGGAAGGCUCCGGGUUCAAAUCCCGGCCAGUCCA
rnacentral:tRNA from 1 species